rnacentral:rRNA from 1 species
UACGUAGGGGGCGAGCGUUGUCCGGAAUUAUUGGGCGUAAAGGGUGCGUAGGCGGCCUUGCAAGUCCGAUGUGAAAGACCACGGCUUACCCGUGGGGUUGCAUUGGAAACUGUAGGGCUUGAGUACUGGAGAGGAUAGUGGAAUACCCAGUGUAGCGGUGAAAUGCGUAGAUAUUGGGUGGAACACCAGUGGCGAAGGCGACUAUCUGGACAGUAACUGACGCUGAGGCACGAAAGCUAGGGGAGCAAACAGGAUUAGAUACCCUGGUAGUCCUAGCCGUAAACGAUGGGUACUAGGUGUAGGAGGUUUCGAUACCUUCUGUGCCGCAGUUAACGCAAUAAGUACCCCGCCUGGGGAGUACGGUCGCAAGACUGAA